ensembl:lncRNA
AAACCAAAACAAGACGUGUCGGUUGGAAUUAUUUUUUCUUCACCCCGGUUCUCCAGAGUCUGGACCCUUCUCUCACUGUGCCCCCAGGACUGGGUCUUCUCUCACCUCAAAGCAUGCACGGGCAUCAGAUUCAUCUGCCAAGAACGCGUGCUCCUAACACAUCAUUUUCCUGCUGGAAAAAGCUUUGAUGAUUUGUUUGAAGAGUAAUUAGUUAGCUGGCACUUACAAGCAGGCAUCACUUACCUCUUGGACUCGCAUAUGCUCAAGUACUUCCUGACUCUGAGUGGCAGCCAUCUGAUGGCUUCUCUAAUCUUUGGCGUUCUUCUGUCUUAUUCCUCCCCAUAUGCUGUUGCGAAGGAUCCAGGGCUGGAACUAAACUCUGUUUCCUCUUUCUAUGUUAACUCCUUGUAGAAUUUAAGAACGAUGGGACUUAAAAGUUUCUUGCUAUGCUCGCCUGCCCUGCUGCUCCAACCCCCUGCCCUCCAGCCCCGCAUCCUGAACAUCUACUUGAAAUAAUGGAGUCUCCGUCCUGUGGCAUUUCUUGUUUUGUUUUCUCUUGAGACAGGUUUUGCUUAGGAGCCCAGACUUGCCUGGAACUUGCUGAAUAGCCAAGAUGGGCCUUGAAUUCACUGUUGCCAUGCCGCUGCCUCCCAAGUGAUGGGAGCACAGGACCCGGAUGCUUGCUUUCUUCUUCCUGCUGACCCUUCUGGACUGAGGUCUUCCUGCCUGACUCUCUGAGGAAGCCUGUUUCUACACAUUGGAUCCCGGCGGUGUGAGGCAUAGCAUAGCUGGGUUGCCAUGGCCCUGCUUGCCCCGCUGAUUAUUUCUCCUUAAUUGAGCGUAAAGAAUGUGUGGAAUGUGGAGAGACCGAGGGAAGAGGGCUGAGCAGCCCCUCAGGGAUGCGGAUUCUGGACUUUGAGAUGGGAAGAGUUGCGGAUAGCCUGCUGAACCCACAUAGACUGUGUUCAUUAUGGGUCCCCAUAUUCUUCUACACAGCAUGGCGGUGAGCCCGUGUCUCCAAGCCUUCUCUGUUCCUCACUCUCCUGUUGCCAGAGUGUUCUACGUUCAUGCCAGACUGGCUGUGACUGCCUCUCUUCCCAGUCAUCUUUCUUGAUUUAAACCCAUCUUGAUUUAAAUUCCUACUUUGCUUAUUUUGCUUAUUUUGUUUUCCAAGAUGGGGCUGUCCUGCAAUUACUAGCUUUCUAGACCAGGCUGGCCUUGAACUCACAGAGAUCCACCUGCCUCUGCUGGGAUUAAAGCCGUGCACCACCACUGUU